GGACGAUUAACUCAGCGGUUAGAGUGUCUGCUUUACACGCAGGAUGUCGGGGGUUCAAAUCCCUCAUCGUCCACCA
rnacentral:tRNA from 1 species